rnacentral:rRNA from 1 species
UGGCGGUAUGCUUAACACAUGCAAGUCGAACGGAGCUUUUCGGAGCUUAGUGGCGGACGGGUGAGUAACGCGUGAGAAUCUGCCUUUUGGACCGGGACAACUGCUGGAAACGGCAGCUAAGACCGGAUGUGCCCUUGGGUGAAAUAUUCAUAGCCAAAAGAGGAGCUCGCGACCGAUUAGCUAGUUGGUGGGGUAAGAGCCUACCAAGGCUGCGAUCGGUAGCCGGUUUGAGAGGACGACCGGCCACACUGGGACUGAGACACGGCCCAGACUCCUACGGGAGGCAGCAGUGGGGAAUUUUCCGCAAUGGGCGAAAGCCUGACGGAGCAAUACCGCGUGAGGGAGGAAGGCUCUUGGGUCGUAAACCUCUUUUCUCAGGGAAGAAGCAAUGACGGUACCUGAGGAAUCAGCAUCGGCUAACUCCGUGCCAGCAGCCGCGGUAAUACGGAGGAUGCAAGCGUUAUCCGGAAUGAUUGGGCGUAAAGCGUCCGCAGGUGGCACAUCAAGUCUGCUGUCAAAGCCCCCAGCUUAACUGGGAAGAGGCGGUGGAAACUGGUGAGCUAGAGAGCAAUAGGGGUAGAGGGAAUUCCCGGUGUAGCGGUGAAAUGCGUAGAGAUCGGGAAGAACACCAGUGGCGAAAGCGCUCUACUAGGUUGCAACUGACACUGAGGGACGAAAGCUAGGGGAGCGAAUGGGAUUAGAUACCCCAGUAGUCCUAGCCGUAAACGAUGGAUACUAGGCGUUUCUCGUAUCGACCCGAG